GAUGAACGCUGGCGGCGUGCUUAACACAUGCAAGUCGAACGAAGCACUUUAUUUGAUUUCCUUCGGGACUGAUUAUUUUGUGACUGAGUGGCGGACGGGUGAGUAACGCGUGGGUAACCUGCCUUGUACAGGGGGAUAACAGUUGGAAACGGCUGCUAAUACCGCAUAAGCGCACAGCAUCGCAUGAUGCAGUGUGAAAAAGUCCGGUGGUAUAAGAUGGACCCGCGUUGGAUUAGCUAGUUGGUGAGGUAACGGCCCACCAAGGCGACGAUCCAUAGCCGACCUGAGAGGGUGACCGGCCACAUUGGGACUGAGACACGGCCCAAACUCCUACGGGAGGCAGCAGUGGGGAAUAUUGCACAAUGGGCGAAAGCCUGAUGCAGCGACGCCGCGUGAGCGAAGAAGUAUUUCGGUAUGUAAAGCUCUAUCAGCAGGGAAGAUAAUGACGGUACCUGACUAAGAAGCACCGGCUAACUACGUG
rnacentral:rRNA from 1 species